rnacentral:rRNA from 1 species
AGAGUUGAUCAUGGCUACAGGACGAACGCUGGCGGCAUGCCUAACACAUGCAAGUCGAACGGACAUAACCAAGUUAUAGCGAUAUAAUGCGGGUAUGUUAGUGGCGAACGGGUGAGUAACACGUGAGCAACCUGCCCUGUACAACGGGAUAACAGUUGGAAACGACUGCUAAUACGGUAUAAGACCACACUGCGGCAUCGCAGAGGGGUAAAAGUGAAUUAGCGGUACAGGAUGGGCUCGCGUCCAAUUAGCUAGUUGGUGAGGUAACGGCUCACAAAGGCGACGAUUGGUAGCCGACCUGAGAGGGUGAUCGGCCACACUGGAACUGAGACACGGUCCAGACUCCUACGGGAGGCAGCAGUGGGGAAUAUUGGGCAAUGGAGGAAAAACCUCUUACCCAGCAAUGCCGCGUGAAGGAAGAAGGUCUUCGGAUUGUAAACUUCUUUUAUUGGGGACGAAUAAAUGACGGUACCCGAUGAAUAAGCCCCGGCUAACUAUGUGCCAGCAGCAGC